ensembl:rRNA 5S_rRNA 5S ribosomal RNA
GUCACAGCCAUAUCACCUUGCAGCCUAAGACCGGUUACUCACUGAAGCUAAGAAGGGCUGAGGCUAGUCAAUACCUGGAUGGGAGAUCACAUGGGGAAACUAGGUUGCUGCUGAAA